GUGCUUAUAGUUUAAAACAUGUAUUACAAUGCCCAUUUGAAAUGUGUGUACCAGCUAGAAAACUUUUUUUUUUUUUUUGGAGACUCGCUAUGUCGCCCAGGCUGGAGUGCAGUGGCGCUAUCGAUCUCGGCUCACUGCAGCCUCCGCCUCCUGCGUUCAAGCGAUUCUCCUGUCUCAGCCUCCUGAGUAGCUGGGACUACAGAUGCAUGCCACCACGCCUGGCUAAUUUUUGUAUUUUUAGUAGAGACGGGGUUUCACCAUGUUGGCCAGGAUGUUCUUGAUCUCCUGACCUCGUGAUCCGCCUGCCUCUGCCUCCCAAAGUGCUGGGAUUACAGGUGUGACCCACCGCGCCCGGCCGCUAGAAAACAUUUUAAAAUUAUGUAGAAGAGGCUACUGAUAUCUUUAUUACUAGUCAUUAGCCUGUGGUUUUUUGAAGCAGCAUGCUAUAAUAUUACAGCGGCUCAUUACUGACAACCUACUCUGUGCCAGCUGCUAUAAGCAUAUGAUUACCAAUACAUAAGCAAACCCUGAAGGUAGGGGUUUAAAAAACAAGAAGCUGAAGUUCAUAGGUUAAGUAGAUUGUUGAUAAAUCAUAGAGUCAGUAAGUGGCUGUGCCGAGAUUCGAACUGGCAUUUGGUCUCUGGGCAAAUAUGCUCCACUAUGUUAACUACGCUUUCUAUUUCUGGUUGAAAAGCAUAUUGAAAUAAUGUUUUGUAUUCUUUUUGAAAGAGAGAUUCUUAUACCAUUACCUCUGGUACUUCUGCCCUUUUAUUUUAACCUUCACUUCACCAUGAAUGAGAAUACUCGUAUCUGUGUGUGGGUGUCCAGACUGUGGCUUCUGUCACGCAACCCUUAGAUGCCAGACUGCUAAACCAAUUUCUCUACUUGCCUGUUUGCUUCUGCUAUUAAAACUUAUGUACUUAUUUCUAUCAUACUCAUAUUCGACCUUGUUAGUAGCACAUUGUUUAUUGUUAGUUUUAGCCCUCCAAAUUACUUUCAGUAAGUUUUUUUUUUUUUUUUAGAUGGAGUCUCGCACUGUCGCCCAGGCUGGAGUGCAGUGGCUCAAUCUCCACUCACUGCAAACUCUGCCUUCCAGUGCCUUCCAGGUUCACGCCAUUCUCCUGCCUCAGCCUCUUGAGUAGCUGGGAUUACAGGCGCCCACCACCACGCCUGGCUAAUUUUUUGUAUUUUUAGUAGAGACAGGGUUUCACCGUGUUAGCUAGGAUGGUCUUGAUCUCCUGACCUCAUGAUCCGCCUGCCUCGGCCUCCCAAAGUGCUGGGAUUACAGGCGUGAGCCACUGCGCCUGGCCUCAGUAAGUUUUUUAAAGGCGGUUUUUGGCCAGGUGCGAUGUCUCAUGCCUGUAAUUCUAGCACUUUGGGAGGCCCAGGCAGGAGGGUCACUGGAGCUUAGGAGUUCGAGAGCAGCCUGGGCAACAUUGUGAGAAAAAACAGAAAAGAAAAAAAGAAAGAAAAAGGCAAUUUUUGUGGUAACUUUUUUUCUUUAUGUUCAAUUGAGAAGUCAUUUUGGUCCGGGCGUGGUGGCUCACACCUGUAAUCCUAGCACUUUGGGAGGCCAAGGUGUGGGUGGAUCACUUGAGGUCAGGAGUUAAAGACCACCCUGGCCAACAUGGUGAAACCCCGUCUUUACUAAAAAUACAAAAAUUAGCCUGGCGUGGUGGCGUGCGCCACCACACCUGGCUAAUUUUCUAUUUUUAGUAGAGAUAGGGUUUCUCCAUGUUGAUCAGGCUGGUCUCAAACUCCCGACCUCAGGUGAUCCGCCCACCUUGGCCUCCCAAAGUGGUGGGAUUACAGGCGUGCGCCACCGUGCCCAGCCAACACUUUUCUUUAUGGGGGUAACAAGAUCAGUAUAUGAUCAUUUUCAUAGUUUGUUUUCUUUAGAAUGGUGCUGUGAUUUUUGUGUCUACUUUUUAUGUCUAAUUAUUUGUUGUUAUAAUUUUGUUAAAGAUCUCAGGAAACAGGCUCGACAGCUGGAAAAUGAACUUGACCUGAAACUAGUUUCCUUCAGCAAACUAUGUACAAGUUACAGUCAUAGCAGUACCCGAGAUGGAAGACGCGACAGGUAUAGGUACUACCAGAUUCUGUCUCCUAUGCCUUAACUGUGUUUUUAAAGCAUUAAAAAAUAAACUAAAAUAUAUAACUUCUGU
rnacentral:sRNA from 1 species